ensembl:rRNA 5S_rRNA 5S ribosomal RNA
AUCUACGGCCAUACCACCCUGAAUGCACCUGAUUUCCCCGAUUUCAUCUGAUCUCAGAAGCUAAGCAGGGUCGGGUCUGGUUAGUACUUGGAUGGGAGACAUGAAAUGAAAAGCAACCUUAAUUGUGGGUG